CAGCCGCCGCGGUAAUACAGAGGGUGCGAGCGUUAAUCGGAUUUACUGGGCGUAAAGCGUGCGUAGGCGGCUUCUUAAGUCGGAUGUGAAAUCCCGGAGCUUAACUUAGGAAUUGCAUUCGAUACUGGGAAGCUAGAGUAUGGGAGAGGAUGGUAGAAUUCCAGGUGUAGCGGUGAAAUGCGUAGAGAUCUGGAGGAAUACCGAUGGCGAAGGCAGCCAUCUGGCCUAAUACUGACGCUGAGGUACGAAAGCAUGGGGAGCAAACAGGAUUAGAGACCCCGGUAGUCCCUGUCUCUUAUAC
rnacentral:rRNA from 1 species